UACGUAGGGGGCAAGCGUUGUCCGGAUUUAUUGGGCGUAAAGAGCGUGUAGGCGGUUAGGUAGGUCCGUUGUGAAAACUCGAGGCUCAACCUCGAGACGCCGAUGGAAACCAUCUGACUAGAGUCCGGAAGAGGAGAGUGGAAUUCCUGGUGUAGCGGUGAAAUGCGCAGAUAUCAGGAAGAACACCCGUGGCUAAGGCGGCUCCCUAGUACGUGACUGACGCUGAGACGCGAAAGCGUGGGGAGCGAACAGG
rnacentral:rRNA from 1 species